rfam:Saccharothrix sp. ALI-22-I Contig68, whole genome shotgun sequence.
CUGCCAUCCCGAGCGGCUGAGAGACCUGGCUCUACGACGCCGCAGCAACCACCCCCCCACGGGGGCAGGUGCUUCAGCCAGGAUCGAUGGAGG